GGAUGAACGCUGGCGGCGUGCCUACUACAUGCAAGUCGAGCGAACAGAUGAGGAGCUUGCUCCUCUGACGUUAGCGGCGGACGGGUGAGUAACACGUGGAUAACCUACCUAUAAGACUGGGAUAACUUCGGGAAACCGGAGCUAAUACCGGAUAAUAUAUUGAACCGCAUGGUUCAAUAGUGAAAGACGGUUUUGCUGUCACUUAUAGAUGGAUCCGCGCCGCAUUAGCUAGUUGGUAAGGUAACGGCUUACCAAGGCAACGAUGCGUAGCCGACCUGAGAGGGUGAUCGGCCACACUGGAACUGAGACACGGUCCAGACUCCUACGGGAGGCAGCAGUAGGGAAUCUUCCGCAAUGGGCGAAAGCCUGACGGAGCAACGCCGCGUGAGUGAUGAAGGUCUUCGGAUCGUAAAACUCUGUUAUUAGGGAAGAACAAAUGUGUAAGUAACUAUGCACGUCUUGACGGUACCUAAUCAGAAAGCCACGGCUAACUACGUG
rnacentral:rRNA from 1 species